rnacentral:rRNA from 1 species
UGGGGAAUAUUGCACAAUGGGCGCAAGCCUGAUGCAGCCAUGCCGCGUGUGUGAAGAAGGCCUUCGGGUUGUAAAGCACUUUCAGCGAGGAGGAAGGUGGUGAGCUUAAUACGCUCAUCAAUUGACGUUACUCGCAGAAGAAGCACCGGCUAACUCCGUGCCAGCAGCCGCGGUAAUACGGAGGGUGCAAGCGUUAAUCGGAAUUACUGGGCGUAAAGCGCACGCAGGCGGUUUGUUAAGUCAGAUGUGAAAUCCCCGGGCUCAACCUGGGAACUGCAUUUGAAACUGGCAAGCUAGAGUCUCGUAGAGGGGGGUAGAAUUCCAGGUGUAGCGGUGAAAUGCGUAGAGAUCUGGAGGAAUACCGGUGGCGAAGGCGGCCCCCUGGACGAAGACUGACGCUCAGGUGCGAAAGCGUGGGGCAGCAAACAGGAUUAGAUACCCUGGUAGUCCACGCUGUAAACGAUGUCGAUUUGGAGGUUGUGCCCUUGAGGCGUGGCUUCCGGAGCUAACGCGUUAAAUCGACCGCCUGGGGAGUACGGCCGCAAGGUUAAAACUCAAAGGAAUUG